rnacentral:rRNA from 1 species
GAUGAACGCUGGCGGCGUGCCUAAUACAUGCAAGUCGAGCGCAGCGGGGGGGGGUGAGUAACAGGUGGAUAACCUCCUAUAAGACUGGGAUAAAUUCGGGAAACCGGUGCUAAACCGGCUACUUAUAGAUGGAUCCGGUCUGCAUUCGCUAGUUGGUAAGGUAACGGCUUACCAAGGCAACGAUGCAUAGCCGACCUGAGAGGGUGAUCGGCCACACUGGAACUGAGACACGGUCCAGACUCCUACGGGAGGCAGCAGUAGGGAAUCUUCGGCAAUGGGCGAAAGCCUGACGGAGCAACGCCGCGUGAGUGAAGAAGGUUUUCGGAUCGUAAAACUCUGUUAUUAGGGAAGCGGUACCUAAUCAGAAAGCCACGGCUAACUACGUGCCAGCCGCCGCGGUAAUUC